rnacentral:rRNA from 1 species
CCUACGGGAGGCAGCAGUGGGGAAUAUUGGACAAUGGGCGAAAGCCUGAUCCAGCAAUGCCGCGUGAGUGAUGAAGGCCUUAGGGUUGUAAAGCUCUUUUACCAGGGAUGAUAAUGACAGUACCUGGAGAAUAAGCUCCGGCUAACUCCGUGCCAGCAGCCGCGGUAAUACGGAGGGAGCUAGCGUUGUUCGGAAUUACUGGGCGUAAAGCGUACGUAGGCGGUUAUUCAAGUCAGAGGUGAAAGCCCGGGGCUCAACCCCGGAACUGCCUUUGAAACUAGAUAGCUAGAAUCUUGGAGAGGUUAGUGGAAUUCCGAGUGUAGAGGUGAAAUUCGUAGAUAUUCGGAAGAACACCAGUGGCGAAGGCGACUAACUGGACAAGUAUUGACGCUGAGGUACGAAAGCGUGGGGAGCAAACAGGAUUAGAUACCCUGGUAGUCCACGCCGUAAACGAUGAUAACUAGUUGUUCGGGCACCUGGUGCCUGGAGUGACGCAGCUACGCAUUAAGUUAUCCGUCCGUCGGGUAGGUACGGUCGCGAAGAAUUAAACUAACAAAGGAAGUUAGACGGCGUGAGACGUGCCGACGGACGACGACGAGGGAGGUAGG